rnacentral:rRNA from 1 species
AUGAACGCUGGCGGUCUGCUUAACACAUGCAAGUCGAACGAACUCUUCGGAGUGAGUGGCGGACGGGUGAGUAACGCGUGAGAAUCUGCCUUCAGGUCUGGGACAACAGAAGGAAACUUCUGCUAAUCCGGGAUGAGCCUUUGGUAAAGAGAAUUGCCUGGAGAUGAGCUCGCGUCUGAUUAGCUAGUUGGUGAGGUAAAAGCUUACCAAGGCGACGAUCAGUAGCUGGUCUGAGAGGAUGAGCAGCCACACUGGGACUGAGACACGGCCCAGACUCCUACGGGAGGCAGCAGUGGGGAAUUUUCCGCAAUGGGCGAAAGCCUGACGGAGCAAGACCGCGUGGGGGAGGAAGGCUCUAGGGUUGUAAACCCCUUUUCUUUGGGAAGAAGAAAGUGACGGUACCAAAGGAAUCAGCCUCGGCUAACUCCGUGCCAGCAGCCGCAGUAAU